rnacentral:lncRNA from 1 species
GGCUUUAAGUGAAGCCAUAAUAAUACUGGUUGAAACUGGCUUCAAUUUCAAUUCAACAUACCAUUUCACUGUCUGUGACUAAAAGAUGAAAUUCUGAGGAUUUGUUUUAUUGAUUACAAACUGAAAUACUCUCCAAUUUUUUUUCUCUUAUGGAAAUUUAGUACUGUAAAAUAUUACAGUAUUUUCUAGCCAAUGUGAUUCAGAAUGACUAUAAUAGCUGGAAGUAGAAUCUAAUUUUCAUACCAUAACAGCUUUAAAAUUGUAUAUAUAUACU